UUGUGCUUCAAAUUAGAAAUUAAAAUAGCUGACUUUUUUCUAUCUUAACUAGCUGUAGUGUUGGCUGGCGGUGGUCACUCUGCUAAUGGUGCUGUGGCCCAAGGCUCCCAAUCUGAAGGGGAUUCUAACAACACAACUAUAUUUGUUGGAGGGCUUGAUUCUGAAAUCAGCGAUGAGGAUCUCAGACAACCGUUUUUGCAAUAUGGCGAUGUUGUCUCCGUGAAAAUUCCAAUCGGUAAAGGAUGUGGCUUUGUUCAACUUGCUGACAGAAAGAAUGCUGAGGAAGCUAUUCAGGGAUUGAAUGGAACAGUGAUCGGGAAGCAGACCGUGCGUCUUUCUUGGGGUCGCAGUCCGGGAAAUAAGCAUUGGAGGAAUAAUGAUUCGAAUGGAAACCAUUAUGGCGGGCAAGGUUACGGUGGUCACGGAUACGGAGGCCAUGGAUAUGCUGUUAGACAGAAUCAG